AGCGAUUGGCCUUGCGACUUGUUAAUU
rnacentral:sRNA from 1 species